ensembl:snoRNA Small nucleolar RNA SNORD2
GUGUGAAAUGAUGGUUCAUCUUUCGGGACUGACUUGUAAUGGAGACACUUCCAAAUUCUCUGAUCAUAC